GACGAACGCUGGCGGCGUGCUUAACACAUGCAAGUCGAACGGAAAGGCCCUGCUUUUGUGGGGUGCUCGAGUGGCGAACGGGUGAGUAACACGUGAGUAACCUGCCCUUGACUUUGGGAUAACUUCAGGAAACUGGGGCUAAUACCGGAUAGGAGCGCCUGCUGCAGGGUGGGGGUGGGAAAGUUUCGGCGGUUGGGGAUGGACUCGCGGCUUAUCAGCUUGUUGGUGGGGUAGUGGCUUACCAAGGCUUUGACGGGUAGCCGGCCUGAGAGGGUGACCGGCCCCCUUGGCACUGUGAUACGGCCCGGACUCCUACGGGAGGCAGCAGUGGGGAAUAUUGCACGAUGGGCGGAAGCCUGAUGCAGCAACGCCGCGUGCGGGAUGACGGCCUUCGGGUUGUAAACCGCUUUCGCCUGUGACGAAGCGUGAGUGACGGUAAUGGGUAAAGAAGCACCGGCUAACUACGUG
rnacentral:rRNA from 1 species